rnacentral:pre_miRNA from 1 species
AUAUUACUUCUUCCGAUCUAUAUUACUUGUCACAAAUUUGUCUAUAUAGCAUAUAUUUUGAGAGGUUUCAUUGUAUAGAUAAAUGUGUAUCUAAAUAAAGUUGUGACAAAUAAUACAGAUCGGAGGGAGUAGCAU